rnacentral:rRNA from 1 species
AGAGUUUGAUCCUGGCUCAGAACGAACGCUGGCGGCGUGCCUAACACAUGCAAGUCGAACGAGAAAGUCUCCUUCGGGGGAUGAGUAGAGUGGCGAACGGGUGAGUAACACGUGAGCAACCUGCCCCUGAGACUGGGAUAACACCUCGAAAGGGGUGCUAAUACCGGAUAAGACCACGAGGUGAAAAUCCUCGCGGUAAAAGAUGGCUGAUGCUUUUGCAAGCCGUCGUUCGGGGAUGGGCUCGCGGACCAUUAGCUUGUUGGUGGGGUAACGGCCCACCAAGGCUACGAUGGUUAGUCGGCCUGAGAGGGUGUCCGGCCACACUGGGACUGAGACACGGCCCAGACUCCUACGGGAGGCAGCAGUGGGGAAUAUUGCGCAAUGGGGGCAACCCUGACGCAGCGACGCCGCGUGGGGGAUGAAGUCCUUCGGGAUGUAAACCCCUGUCGGGCGGGAAGAACGGCGAUGGGCUUAACAGGCCUAUCGUUUGACGGUACCGCCAAAGGAAGCCCCGGCUAACUCCGUGCCAGCAGCCGCGGUAAUACGGAGGGGGCAAGCGUUGUUCGGAAUCACUGGGCGUAAAGGGCGCGUAGGCGGUAUGGCAAGUCGGGCGUGAAAGCCCUCGGCUCAACCGAGGAAUUGCGUUCGAAACUGCCGUACUUGAGUGCGGGAGAGGAGAGCGGAAUUCCCAGUGUAGCGGUGAAAUGCGUAGAUAUUGGGAAGAACACCGGUGGCGAAGGCGGCUCUCUGGACCGCAACUGACGCUGAGGCGCGAAAGCUAGGGGAGCAAACGGGAUUAGAUACCCCGGUAGUCCUAGCCGUAAACGAUGGGCACUAGGUGUAGGAGGCAUUGACCCCUCCUGUGUCGAAGCUAACGCAUUAAGUGCCCCGCCUGGGGAGUACGGUCGCAAGGCUGAAACUCAAAGGAAUUGACGGGGGCUCGCACAAGCGGUGGAGCAUGUGGCUUAAUUCGAUGCAACGCGAAAAACCUUACCGGGGUUUGACAUGAUAGAAGUAGAAACCCGAAAGGGGGACGAACGGUAUCCAGUCCGUAGCUAUUACAGGUGUUGCAUGGCUGUCGUCAGCUCGUGUCGUGAGACGUUGGGUUAAGUCCCCUAACGAGCGAAACCCUUGUUUUUAGUUACCAGUGGGUAAUGCCGGGUACUCUAGAAAGACUGCCGUCGUCAAGACGGAGGAAGGUGGGGACGACGUCAAGUCAUCAUGGCCCUUAUACCCCGGGCUGCACACGUGCUACAAUGGUCGGUACAAAAGGAAGCGAAGCCGAGAGGUGAAGCGAAUCCUAAAAAGCCGAUCUCAGUUCGGAUUGGAGGCUGAAAUUCGCCUCCAUGAAGUUGGAAUCGCUAGUAAUCGCGGAUCAGCAAUGUCGCGGUGAAUAUGUUCCCGAGCCUUGUACACACCGCCCGUCAAGCCACCCAAGCAGGAUGCACCCGAAAACAUUAUAUCUAACCAGGGCAACUUGGAGGAAAAUGUUGAAGGAGUGUUUUGUGAGGAGGACUAAGUCGUAACAAGGUAA